rfam:Myotis brandtii contig212229, whole genome shotgun sequence.
GGCCAGAUGGCUCAGUUGGUUGAGCAUGGUCCCAUGCACCAAAAAGUUGAGUUCGAUUCCCACUCAGGUCA